UUUACUUGCUGCCUCUAACUUUGCUGCAUGUAUAGGUACGAUGUUGCUUUGGCAUGUAAUGCCUUAGGAGCAAGAAAUGCAUGCCAAUUUGCCAAGAAGUGUCUCAAUAUGAAGUUAUUUCUUCAUGUUUCCACAGCUUAUGUUGCCGGUACCCAAGAUGGGCUGUUACUGGAGAAGGCACUUCAAAGUGGUGAAACUUUAAGAGAAGGCCUCUUCUUGGACGUUGAAGCUGAGUUGCAGUUGGUUGAGAACGUCAAAAAUGAACUCACAGUUGUGAAGAAGACUGACAACUCAGCACCACCGGAAAAGUCCGUCAUGAAAAAACUUGGCUUAGAGAGGUACGUAUACCCAAUUUGGUUACGUUAUGGGCCAUUGGGUAUCUAUUCUAAGAAAAAAAAAAACACCCCCCAUUUCAUAAUA